rnacentral:rRNA from 1 species
AGCGAACGCUGGCGGCAGGCCUAACACAUGCAAGUCGAACGGACCCUUCGGGGUUAGUGGCGGACGGGUGAGUAACACGUGGGAACGUGCCUUUAGGUUCGGAAUAGCUCCUGGAAACGGGUGGUAAUGCCGAAUGUGCCCUUCGGGGAAAGAUUUAUCGCCUUUAGAGCGGCCCGCGUCUGAUUAGCUAGUUGGUGGGGUAAUGGCCCACCAAGGCUACGAUCAGUAGCUGGUCUGAGAGGAUGACCAGCCACAUUGGGACUGAGACACGGCCCAAACUCCUACGGGAGGCAGCAGUGGGGAAUCUUGCGCAAUGGCGAAAGCCUGACGCAGCCAUGCCGCGUGUAUGAUGAAGGUCUUAGGAUUGGUAAAAAUACUUUCACCGGUGAAGA